ensembl:lncRNA
UAUAAGCGCUUCGCUUGUGGAAGCCUCCUAGGCCCUUUGCCAUCGCUUUGUGCUUGCUCCUACUCCCGUCUGCCUCCCUACUGCGAAGCUUAAGCGGUAGGGAGCAGAAGAAAGGGACAGAGAACCUAAAACGCUGCGCCGUCCAGGUCGAGGAAACAGGCUUACAGACCAGGAAUGGAAUUCGAGCAAAAUGAACCUCCCCUGGAGUACGCAUGUGUACUGUUGCCAAGACGGAUCUUGAAAUGAAGGCUUCUGGGAGGAGCAAGACUCAUUACGGCCUGGAAUUACCCUCUGACUUUUGAUUCCAAGGAGCCUUUCUGCACAGGUUAAAAGAAGCACAGCCACUUGGAAGCACAAAGAUUACUUUUAAAAAAGCAGCUUCAAAAGUUUUUGUUUUGGAGCCUGGUGGGCUACAGAGGGCAAAAGA